rfam:Enterorhabdus caecimuris B7 genomic scaffold acPFx-supercont1.1, whole genome shotgun sequence.
GGGGAUGUAGCUCAGCUGGGAGAGCAUCACGUUCGCAACGUGGGGGCCGAGGGUUCGAAUCCCUUCAUCUCCA